UACGGAGGGUGCGAGCGUUAUCCGGAAUUACUGGGUUUAAAGGGUGCGUAGGCGGCUUGGUAAGUCAGGAGUGAAAGUUUGCGGCUCAACCGUAAAAUUGCUUUUGAUACUGCCGGGCUGGAAUUAGGAUGAGGUCAGCGGAAUGUGGCAUGUAGCGGUGAAAUGCAUAGAUAUGCCAUAGAACACCUAUUGCGAAGGCAGCUGGCUAGACCUAUAUUGACGCUGAGGCACGAAAGCGUGGGGAGCGAACAGGAUUAGAUACCCUGGUAGUCCACGCCCUAAACGAUGCUUACUCGACGUGCAAGGCUUGUCCUGGUGCGUCCAAGGGAAACCGUUAAGUAAGCCACCUGGGGAGUACGACCGCAAGGUUGAA
rnacentral:rRNA from 1 species